AGUGACAUCCAGCUUCUCUGGGCUUCCAACCGCAACAGCAGGGAACAUGCGCCCGUGUGGGGGAGCUCUGUGGGAAAGUUUCCUGCGAGAUACAACCACGCACAAACUGGUUGUAAAUACCGCAGAGAGAUAGUGAUCACAGUCCAGUGGAGGGUCAAGGGCAGGACACCAACCUCCUGGCUUUCUGCUCCAGCCUCUCCAGUCUCCAACCCCCGAGAGCCUUCACCUUUGUCAGAACAUGGACGUGGAGCUCCUCCAGUGACACAUGCAUACAUGCGUGCAGAAAGAGAAUCUGCCACCAUGAGCUGAUCAGAGGGCACUCACUUACGACCAUAAAUGUUCAUCAUUCCCUCUUCUUGCAUCCUGACCUUCAGCUGAACUCGCCUCACAGCUCCGAGAGCACUGAGACAGAGAAGCAAGAUGUCAAAGAUGUGGUGAAGAAGCAGCAGGUUUGACACAUCCCUCGCUGGACUGUAGUACUUUUCUAAUGUCUUGAACUUGCACCUUUUGGUCUCGUUCUUGAGCAAAAUACUGGAAAUGUGUUCAAGUAUUUGAGAUAAUUUGUCUAUAAUGUAUAGGUCAAGGCUUAAGAUGAUGUUCCUUUUUGCAGCAAGAGUCCACAUCAUGUUUAGGACAGCUUAUCUAAGUCCUGGAGCAACUAAAAAUAUUUGUAGGACUUUCCAGAUGAGAGGUUCUGCUUUUUGCACAUAGUAAAAAAUACAAUAUUUUAUUCAUGCUGCAAGAUGUUCAUGCGACAACACGUUGUUUUCAUUGUCAAAGGUCUUCUUCAGAUAUCUCACUGAAUAAAUAAAAUCUAUAUGUGUAUAUAUUUUUUCACAGUGAGUGGAAGUUAGCAGUCGUGUCUGGAUAAUGUCUUGUGACGUCUCAGUGCGUUUCAGUUCAAUGGGACCAUGGAAAAAGAUUGAA